rnacentral:rRNA from 1 species
CCUGCGGGAGGCAGCAGUGAGGAAUAUUGGUCAAUGGACGAGAGUCUGAACCAGCCAAGUCGCGUGAGGGAAGACGGUCCUAUGGAUUGUAAACCUCUUUUGUCGGGGAGCAAAAGACGCCACGCGUGGCGUUCCGAGAGUACCCGAAGAAAAAGCAUCGGCUAACUCCGUGCCAGCAGCCGCGGUAAUACGGAGGAUGCGAGCGUUAUCCGGAUUUAUUGGGUUUAAAGGGUGCGCAGGCGGAAGAUCAAGUCAGCGGUAAAAUUGAGAGGCUCAACCUCUUCGAGCCGUUGAAACUGGUGUUCUUGAGUGAGUGAGAAGUAUGCGGAAUGCGUGGUGUAGCGGUGAAAUGCAUAGAUAUCACGCAGAACUCCGAUUGCGAAGGCAGCAUACCGGCGCUCAACUGACGCUCAUGCACGAAAGUGUGGGUAUCGAACAGGAUUAGAUACCCGAGUAGUC